GGCGAACGGGUGAGUAACACGUGAGUAACCUGCCCUUGACUUUGGGAUAACUUCAGGAAACUGGGGCUAAUACCGGAUAGGAGCUCCUGCUGCAUGGUGGGGGUUGGAAAGUUUCGGCGGUUGGGGAUGGACUCGCGGCUUAUCAGCUUGUUGGUGAGGUAGUGGCUUACCAAGGCUUUGACGGGUAGCCGGCCUGAGAGGGUGACCGGCCACAUUGGGACUGAGAUACGGCCCAG
rnacentral:rRNA from 1 species